rnacentral:misc_RNA from 1 species
CUUGGAUCUGCUCAGAACGUCAGAUCAAUUACUAAGGAGCACCUUAAGAGCUAUAUUUCAACUCACUAUACAGCUCCCAGAAUGGUUAUUUCUGCUGCUGGUGCUGUUAAGCACGAGGAAAUAGUUGAACAGGUUAAAAAGCUAUUUACAAAGCUUUCUGAUGACCCUACCACAGUUUCUCAGUUGGUUGCGAAAGAGCCAGCUAGUUUUACUGGUUCUGAGGUCAGGAUUAUAGAUGAUGAUGUCCCACUCGCACAAUUUGCCGUUGCAUUCAACGGAGCCUCCUGGACAGAUCCCGAUUCCAUUCCUUUGAUGGUUAUGCAGAGUAUACUGGGUUCUUGGAAUAAGAAUUCUGGUGGAGGAAAGCACAUGGGG